UACAGAGGGGGCAAGCGUUGUUCGGAAUUACUGGGCGUAAAGGGCGCGUAGGCGGCCUGCUAAGUCGAACGUGAAAUCCCUGGGCUCAACCCAGGAACUGCGUCCGAUACUGGUUGGCUUGAAUCCGGGAGAGGGAUGUGGAAUUCCAGGUGUAGCGGUGAAAUGCGUAGAGAUCAGGAAGAACAUCGGUGGCGAAGGCGCUCUGCUGGACCAUAACUGACACUCAGGGACGAAAGCUAGGGGAGCGAAUGGG
rnacentral:rRNA from 1 species